CAGCCAAACCCUAGAGACUCCCCAAAACCUACCUCCCUCCUCUCUCAACUCCUCUCUCAACUCCUCUCUCUUAACCACUGCCUUCGCGGCCCACCGAAAAUUGCCUACGGCGGCGGCGACACCCCAAACCACCCCAAAACUUCACCAGACAACCACCACCUCCCCCUCACCUCAUAUCUCCGUGUAAUUUCACUAUAAAACCACCUAAAUCUCUUGAAUUUUGAAUUUGAGAAAUGUCUGAACCCUAACUUUUGCCCUUUUCUGUCCCGCCGGCAACUUUCGCGUGUCUUGACCUAAGGCCUAUAUCAGUCGAUCGUUCUUAACAAGAACAAUCGAUUGAUGUUGAUUUUAGCUCAUUUCGAAGCCACCAGAGUCCGGACCGGAGUUCUUUGUCGUUGUUCUGUUUUUGUUAGACUGAAGCUGCUCAUAAAUUGGUCUGGAGGUUACUGAUAAUCAUUUAUUCUACCAAGGCAUGCUAAUGUUGUUCCUGCUGUACUAUAGAGUGUAUACAACAUAUUGAAACACGGUUUGUUCAUCUAGUUAGAAACAAGAUUGGAGUUGAUAUUUUCAGGUUAAAAUGAAGCUAGAAGGAGGUGCUUAUUUCAUGUCUUGAUAUUCUGAUUAGCAUGUGUAUGGAAUCUGGCAAUUUGAGGAAAAACAAGGAGGGAUUCAAUCGCAUAUUGUUUUAAUGCACUUAUUUUAGAAUUUGAAGGUUGCUCUUUGUAAGUUGAAUGCCCUGUAUGUAUUAAGUUGGAAAUGAGUUUAAAGUGACUUGGUUGUUCAUCAAUUAUUGUAAUUAGUCAAUAAAUUAGAAUUAACAUCUCUACUAUGAUCUCAGUAAUUUGAAUCAUGUUAGUUUUUGAAUGAA